rnacentral:tRNA from 1 species
UUAAAAAUAAGCUAAACUAAGCUUUUGGGUUCAUACCCCAAAUAUAAAGGAAAUCCCU